UUUUUUUUUUUUUUUUUUGGGUAUAGGUUUGUUUGGAAUUGGGAAGGCAUUUACAAAAAUCAUGCCGUCCGAGCCAAGAAGAAAAACUUCACAAGUUUUCUUUUACGUUCCAUUUACAUGUAUAAUACUAUAGUUCCACUUAAUUAAUGAUUUGCUAGGUCGCAACACUUGCUUAUCCCAAGCAUUGUUGUGGUACGCACCUCUCUGCUAUUUGUCACCUUAUCUUCGUAUUUGGGAGUGGAAAAAAAAAAAAAAAAAACUUUCUUUAGUUCUUUCCAUGAGACAUGUACAAGAACAUCUAAGCAUGGAAAACUAGUUUCAAGAAACAAAUAUGUACACAUAUAGAAGGCGCAUAAUUAACUAUCUGAGAGAGAGAGCAGAGAUUUCCUGUGAGAGAAAUAUUCUAUUCUUUUUUCAACUAAUACCUUUAACAUUUUUUUUUUAAAUAUCCUACCCAAUAUAGGGGAUUGGUUUUCAAGCAUUCGAGAUUUCAUUCAAAAAAGGGUUUUUUUUCCCUUUCCUUAAAAAAAAAAAAAAGAAAGAAAAAGAAGAAGAAGAUUGCUGCUUUGUUAUUUUCGGAUUAGAAAAAUUCACUAAUGGUUUCGUGCAGUCUUAAACUGUUCUGAAGCAUGUACAAAACUGUUGGCUGUCUAAACUUAGUUUCCGGAAAGAGCAAUCUUAACAUUUAUUACACACAAAAAAUUCUGAUCUCGAUGCAUCUCCCAAAAAAAUAUUCACAUAUUAGCUGUACUGUUCUGAAUUCAGCAAACCGUAGCGUUUAUACUACCAUCAAAAUAGAAAGAUAGUGAAUGAACUUUCGGCACCGUUUCCCCUUCGACAAGUUAUGCAAUGUUCAUGUUCAUUCCGGCAGAAGCCAACAUGCUUGGAUCCUGGUUUAGUUUAUGUGGUUGUUUACUAGUUGAAGAAUCUUUGACAUUUUAGUCAUGCUAUCAUUUCUUUACCUCCAAUCAAAAAAAAAAAAAAGGAAACAUUUGAUUUGGCGUUAUUCAUACAACAUUAUAGUAUUUUGAUCCAAUUAAGGAGUUUAAAGGAAUAAAUUUAGUACAAACAGUAGCAGUUCAGGAAGGAAGACAAUAAGAGUUCAUAAUAAAGGGGAGGAACGUGCAGACGUGCAAAUGCACUGUCAUUUUGCUUGUGUCCACUCUUCUGCGAUUCAAAACUACAUUUUGUGCAUUUUUUUUUUCUAGCUUAUUCUCUUCACGAAUAAAGCCCGUGAACUAUCAAGAAUCUGGUGAUGGUUCAAAAUAAGAUGAUUUUGGAAUAAAUCAAAUAAUACUCGAAACAAUGCCAUGUCUUAAGAGCGGCACCCAUAAGUACAGUACACUUUCAGUUCUGCAGAAGCUAUUCUAAUCAAUCUAAAUACUGGAGGAAGAUGUAAAGAUGCUUCCUCUUCGCCCAAACUCCAACAACCAGCACGAAAACUUAAGGUCCAUCACGUUGCCUCCUUUGUUUUACCCGAACAAACCAACCGACCCCGGCACCUUGUCUCCCCAAACCACAAACAACAAAUGGAGUUGAUUCCUCUGUUUUGCUGUCUCCUGUUCAAUCUCCGAUUUUGUUAUACGUCCAAUACUCCAAGUUGCUUCUUCUACAUUUCAUCAUUCCCUAUAUUCGUCGUUCCUUACUUUUGGUACUCUUGCUGCUUCCCUCUUCCAAGUAGUUUUUCCGUUAACUGGAAUUUCUCGUUUCGCCACUAUAUUAUAGGAUGCGUCUGUCGAGCACCUUGAAUGUCAACUGAAGCCAUGGUACAGAGGGGUACAUAGUCACAUUCAAGAAAUGAGCAUAGGAAAAAGCUAAAUCAACAUAUAUUAGACGAGCACAUCAAUAAAGAAAUUCCAAGUUCUUAGUCAUCAGCCUGAAAAGCAUUUGAAUGAUGUUUGCCACACUACGUGUAAAUUCUGCUUUUAAUACACACAUGUGCGACUCAGAAGCAUUUACGUGCAAACUAUGCUGAAGAUAAGGAACUUGAGAAAAAUCCAGGAGGUCACCAGGAAAUAUUACUCAACAUUUUCUUGGGACAAUAGAUACAAUGAGGCAACGUGAAGACUAUCCUAUUCUAAGUUCCCUGCCGAACUGUAUCUGUAUGCAGUGACUCACCAAUUAACGUCACUAUGAUCCAUAUAAUCUGCUUCCUUCACUUCUGGAAGAAGUACCUUUCCAGCAGAACACAUGCCACAAGGGCAACAAAGAAGCGUGAAUUGACCAUCCAGACCAUCAAGGAAUCAAGGCAUCAACUACCUGUCCAACAGAACCCACCACAAGGGCACCAAAGAAGCACUAAUUAAUUAUCCAGACUAACAAGACACAGUAUAGACAUUAAGAAAAGCAAAAUAAAACAAAUACAUAGACGGUAAGUUCCAUAAUUGAACCUUCAUUUCAGUGGUGGAAGGAUGAGGUUUUCCAAUUUAGUACAGCAAGGCGCUAAUAAAGGUAUGGAGAAAACAGUACUGAGCUUAUUCCAAGAAAACCCACAUUUUGGUCCCCUUGAAUUCUGAAAAUGCUAAUUUUACUGUCUCCAAUCAGGAACUUCCAUGCUUCACUUCAAAAACUUUUAUCUAAAAAUGUCAAUAUUCGUUCUACUAGAUACACUCUGUCGCUGUACAAUCCUUCUUGUGCAUGAAAUUUCUCCACUCACAACUAUCAAUGUCACUAUUCAUUUUUGAUUGUCUAGCAAUGCCUUGUAGAGCAAUGUAUACAUCACCAACUACAGAAGGUAAUGAAGUUUCAGCAAGAAAUUCAUGAACAACACCAUUUACUUCAACCCAACUACACCCAGGUUUUUUCUUUAUUUUCUGAUCCUUCAUCAUCCUCUCCAUCCUUGAAGCAGCUUGCCACAUUUUUUUAGAGCGAUACAAGUUCCAAAGGAGCACACAUACACCAUCAUCAUCAGGCUCCAGUUCAAGUACCUCUUUCGCUGCCAUUUCAGCCAAAGCCGAAUUAUUAUGUCCUAAACAAGAACUGAGAAAUGAUCUCCACAUAAUAGCAUCUGGCUUGAAGGGCAUGUCCUGAAUCAAUCCAACAGCUUCUUCAAGCAAUCCUGCUCGACCAAGAAGAUCUACCAUACACCCAUAAUGUUCCAUCAUGGGUUCAAAUCUAGGAGAAUUUUUCAAUCUUUCAAAGAAGUUCAGUCCCUCACCAACCAAUCCUGCAUGGUUACAAGCUGAAAGUACAGAAAGAAACGUAAUCUCAUUGGGGUGCAUCCCAGAUGCCACCAUCUCAUCGAAAAAAUCAAGUGCAUCCUUACCUCUACCAUGAAUUGCCAACCCUGAAAUUAUACUUGUCCACGAAAACAAAUCCCUAUCUACCAUCCUAAUGAAUAUAUUCUCAGCUGAAUCAAGGUUUCCAUUUUUUGCGUACAUAUCAAUUAAUCCAUUAUUUACAGCAACAUCCAUGCUAAAACCAGCUAUCUUGUUAACAUACCCAUGAAUAGACCUCCCAAAAUCAAGAGCUCCAACAUCAGCACAACCUGAGAGCACGGCAACAAUAGUAAUAGUAGUAGCAUUCUCUCUACCUCCAUCCCUCAUUCUCCUAAACAACUGCAACGCCUCAAUGGAAUUUUUCACACGUACAUAGCCAACUAUCAUCGCCGUCCAAGAAACCACAUUCCUCUGCGGCAUAUCAUCAAAAACCUGACGUCCAGCUUCAAUAUCACCACAAAAAAUAAACCCAUUAAGCAAGCUAGUCCAAGUAGCCACGUCUCUGCAUUGCACACUCUCAAACACACGUCCAGCCAAAUGGGUUCUUCCACCCCGACUAUACAUAUCAAUCAGAGCAUUACUCACAAUUGUUUCCGGUUCAGACAAUUGUCUAUACACCAUGGCAUGCACUGCUUUACCAGCAUCCAAAUUUUGCGUCCGCGCGCAAGCAGACAGCGCAGCCAAGACGGAGUGCGCAUCAGGUCUGAGGGAAGUAGAGACCAACAAGUGAGAGAAAAGAGAUAAAGCCUCGGUGGGUUGUUGAGUUUUCAGGUAUAGAUUGAAUAGAGAAGUCCAGGAGACAAUGUCUGGGUCAGGAAUUAGAGCAAACACCCUGUGGGCUUCGAGGGGUUUGUUUAGUUUUGUAUAAACGUUAAGUAAUUUGCAGGCGAAGUGUUGAUGUUUCCGAGUUUGAGCGAAGAAGCCAAGGGUGGUCCAGUGAGCGUGGAUUUGCUUGAUCAAAUUCUCGUGGCCUUCGCAUUUGUCUAGUAAAUUUUUAAGGCCUGUUAUCAGCAGUUUUCUGUUGCCACGAGUCAUCUAUAGAUUUCAAGGACACUGGAAGAUGAAGCCGAGCUACAAGUGAAAUAAUAUAGACAGCUUUUCCCCGCAGACUUAGUUCUGCUGCGUAAUGAUCUUCCAGUGUUACUCUACCAUACGUUGUUUCCAAACCAGUAAACAGAGCCCUGUUGUUGUAUAAUUACUGAAGACAAACAUCCAGUAUCCAACCAAAUAUCCAGGGCAUAAACUCGAUAAAAAAUCAAUUGCGGCUUCGAACUUUUAUACCAUUUCUGCGGCCAAGAAGCAUCCAUAUUUUGCUGGUAGGUUAGGCGUGACCCAAUGCCAAUAAUGCAUGCAUUCGAGCAUUCGAGAUGCAAAUUCUAAGGACAGAGGAGGAGUGAAUGACGCGACCCGAUUAUCCAUUUAAAAAUAAUUACACAUUCAAAUUCAGUUUUAUUUUUCGUGAGUAUUAGGAGGAUAAAUUUAAAUUUCAUACUAAUUUAAUCACAAUAAAAUGUCCUUAUUUCUUGUCUCACAACAUAUGAAAAAUUUAAAAAGCAAAAAUAAAAUUUCAAAUAAUUAAUUAAUUAAAUAUACCAUACCCAUUAUUCACAAAUGGAUAUAAAUGAAUUGAUUCAUUUAUUUAUAAAUGAGUUAACUCAAUUAUACCCACUAUCUAAUUAUUUUUUUCCCCAAAAACGGUAAUAUAUUCAUUAUUCAAUUAUGAUCUGCCAAAAUCCACCCGAAUCACCCGUUUUAACACCUAUAACUUAUCCCAAGUACUUUUGCGGCAUAGAAUUGCUGUUUAUCUUCCUAAUAGGGAAUUGGGACAAAAAUACUUGACAUAUAUAAGAAGAUUUAAGCCUGGACAAGUAAUUUUCAAACAUCAGAUAUGUACACACACAGAAGCAUAAACAAACAACUGUUCAAAGAAAAAAAAAAGAACAGAAAAGGGGCAGGUACUCCGUUUCUAAUUAAGGUAACGACAUUUGAACAAGUUUUAACUCGCUGCUAAUUGUACAAUCUCAGAACAACAAUAACCAAUUUUGUUAAAUUCGGAUCGGGUAGCCACUCGGCUAAACUGCUGGAUCAGCGUCAACUGAUCAGAUCGGUCGGACCAUUCUAAAAAACUCGCUGAUAUUAGCAUGAUGUCAUAAUUAUUUUAUAUUUUAUAAGUUUCAGAAAUAUUGAAAUUAAGUUUUUGGUUAUAUUCAGCCAAUCAUACAAAAUGUUACAAAAAUAUUAGACUUGUAAUCAAAUAUACACUUAAUAAUUAUAUAUAAAAAUGUAAAUUCAUGACUAAAAUAUGUCCAUUUUUCAAAAUUACUUGAAAAACUAAAUUAAAAUAAUUUAAUGCAAGUUAGAAUCACUAAUGCUAGAUUGAUAAGAUAAUAGGGAUGAAACAUCUUGAUUUAGGUGGUGUUUGGUUCAUUCCUUGGAAUCAAAUUCAGAUUUUGAAUCAUUCAUCCUGGAUUUAGAAUGGAGUCAGUCAUUCCAAUACAUCUGUUUGGUUUAGUAACAAAAAUGUAUAUCAUUACUGUAAUUGAUGUUUGGUUCAUUGACUCUUUCAAAAUGGGAUAUAAGAAAUUUCUGCUAAUUAAUUGUAUUAGUAUAAAUAUAUUAGUAAAUUUAGUAUAACUAAUUAACAAUUUUUGUUAGUAAACAUGUAUAAUUAAUAAUAUAAUUGAUAAUAUCAAUUAUAUUAUAUAUACUUAUAUACAUUAUGUAAUACAUAUAACUAAUAAUAUCAUUAUUAUAAAUUUAUAACUAAUUAAAUUAAAUAUUAUAUAAUUAAAUAUAAUUAUACUAAUAUUAUAACAUAAAUAUAUAUAAUUAUAAUUAUAUAAUAUAUAAAUAAUAAUUAUGCUAUAUAUUAUAUAAUUAAAAUACAUAUUAGAUAUUAAAUAUAAUUAUAAAAUAUUAUUAAAUACACAUAUACUAUAAUUAUAAUAAUAAUAAUUAUUAUAUAUUAUUAUAUACACAUAUAUAUUAUAAUUAUAUACACAUAUAAUAUAUAUUUAUAAAUAGUAUAAAUAUAUUAUUAUAUAUAUUAUAAAUAUAUAUUUAUAAUAUUAUAAUAUAUUUAUAGAUAUAUAUUAGUAUAAUAUAUAUUAUAUAAUUAUAAUUAUAUUGAGUAUACAUAUGUGUAUAUAAUAAUUAUAAAUCUAUUAUAUAAUUAUACUAAUAUUAUAAUAAUAUUUAUUUUUAUAAUUAAAUAUUAUAAUUAUAAUAUAUAGUAUAUAUAAUCAUAUAUGUAUGUAGUUAUUUAUUAAUUUUUUUUAAUGGGUGGCGGAGAGGGACCAUUUCUAGAUAAGGAAAAAAAUUGCCCUUGCCCAUUAGCCCCCGCGAGACGGGUGCCCCAAUUGUCAUCCUUAGUUUUCAAUACAUUAGAUAGGAAUCAAACUUGGAUUUUAUCCAAAACCCUUUGGAUUACUAGGGAAUUGGGAAACUCUAAAUUUUUAGAUAUGAUUUUAAAAUUCCAAUUCCGAUAAUAAUAAUCCAAACAGCAAUUAUGAAAUUUAUUCUAAUUCUCCAUUCCGAAACCCUUUUACCAAACACCACCUUAGAAAUUAUUCAGGAAAGUGAGUAAUUUUGAUAUUUACACUAAGUGGAUGACAUUUCCAUAGUCAUAUUAGUAAAUGAAAGUGUUACAAUUUAAGUAACUCAAAUUAUGUUUAGGAGAAACAAGAAAGAAAAGUUUGAAAACCAAAUCAACCAAUCGAAUCGGAUCACUGAUUUAGGCACUUUUUGAUGAUUUUCACUAAUUUUUGACAACCAACUCGAAAAGAAAGUUGAUUCACGGUUGAACCGGUCGUUUCGGUCCGGAUCUAACAACACUGGCAAUAACAGCACUUUAGCAAUGUAAUAUUUAUUUAUGGUUCACAUGAGCCCCAUACAUGAUAAUUAUUUCUUUAUUACGAAAUUACACAAAUAGCUUAACAUGAGUUACAACCUCUUCACAAGAUAUUACACCAUUCUGCCCCUUUCCCCGAAAAGGACGAGCCUAAAUUCAUCCCAACCAACCAGACAAAAACCAUGUUUGUACUAGUUAUUUGACGACAUCCAGAAGUUCACAAUGUGGAAGACACUGAAAACAAGCAUUAAGGUGCCAAAUUCAAGCCAGAGCACACAUUAAGCAUUGAUUAAUAUAAAGUACUAAACUAAUGUUCCCAGAACAUUACGCCCUACUCUACAUUCACUCGCACAACCUUUUUCCUCCUCCCUUCUCCAUCUGGUUCUGCUGCUCCAGCGUCUCCAAAGUACUCUAUAGAUGGAGGAGCCCAACCACCCCAGCCGCUCCAUGUUGGAAAUCCAUCCCAUCCAAUCAAGUUAGCUCCUGCAUUCAUUAAACAGGAAAUUUCAGCCUAUUCAUGCAAUGAACAGUACCAAUCACACUGAACAUCUUUGGAUCAAUGAACCUCCCAAAAUUUGAUUGCCUCAAAGCAUGGAAUGAGUCACAGUCAUCGGCCAAAUAAAUGGACAUCUUUGGAACAUACAAGUGCUUGAGGGAAAAAAAAAAUCAAGUGCAACAUAAAAGUAUGAACUAAGACAAACACUCUAGAAGUAAACUCAAUUGACAGAGGAGUGAAUGAAAUGAUACAGAAAUCUCAUAAACUUAGUAAUCAAAGAUAAAAACCAAAUGAACAAUGGAACGGAUGAGAAAAUCAUGAAAGCAAGAAAUGAAAUUUACAAUUAAGCACUUCCAGAUUUCCAUGUGCAUAAUUGAAUAUCUAGAAAUUACCAAAGUUUAUGAGAUCAUCUGAUAUCACAAGAUAUGACAAUGACCAGCUUUAACCAAGAUGAUUGCAUUGUGAUAUGUUAAAGCUACAACAAACAGAACAAACUCAAGUAGACAAGCAAUAACUUACCUGAAUUCUCAAGCUUAUUGAACCCACUGCUCCAUCCUGGUAAAUGCUUGUCAGCAUUAUUUUUCCAAUUUUCUUCAAAACCUUUAAGCUCACCUGAUGAAAGGGGAAAAAAAUUAAAAGCAGCAAAAUAAUUUGAGGGCAAUGAAGAAGUUUAAGAUAACAAGCCCUUGGAGAGGAAACAAACCUUCAUGCAAGUUAUGUAAAGUCUGCAAUGAAUCCGCUCUACCAUCUGAACUGUUCUUUUUUGUGACCGAAUGACCCUGCACAAGCAGAAUUAAAUAAUGCAGACACAUUUAAGACACCUGCCAUUCAUUGGCAUAUAACAUACACUUAAAAGAGACACAUUGCUAAAGAUAAUGGUACAUUGCUAGACAUUCAGAUACUAGUAUUAGAGAAAUUUUUGCACAUUUAAUAAGAAAGAAUUUGUUAUGGUAAACUUGAACUCUGAAAAUAGCCAGGAACCGUUGCUGAACUCUUAUUAGGAAUUGCCCAUUAUGAUUUAAUGGAUUCACGUCAUCUCAUUCUAAGAAGCAGAUAUAAGACUACAAUGACCAUACCUUAUCAUGGAUUCCCUUUGAAAUUGUGUGUAGUGAUUCACCAACUAUCUUGUCCUCUUCCUUCAUUUCUGCAAGAAACACCUACAACACCACCAAAGACAUCAUAAGAAGGAUGACAAUGACCAUCAAAAAAGAAAAAAAAAAUUAGACAUAUCCAGUCAAGUAUUACUGACCCCAUCGCCACCAUUCAUCCUGCCUUCAGAGCAAGUAUAGUACAUUCCAUCCUGAUCACCAUAUGCAACCCUUCGAUAACUAAAAGAACUUCCACUACCUAUUAAGUACGGCACACCAAUUUCACAAACAAGGAAAUGCAGUCAACACUUGAACAACAAAACAGGCGGAAUAACUGAGACAUGCUAAUUAAUGUUUUACCAUUCGCAUGAUAAUUUGGAUUCCUAACGCUCAGUUCUUUGCCAGCAUUUGAAAUGUUUGCACCAUCAUCAUCAUCAUCAGGAUUUAUUUCCUCAAUACUAAUUUGCUUCCGCGAAGCAGGAGGAUAACCAAAGGGGCUAGCGAAAAACGGGUCAGCAAAUGGAUUCUUCUCACCAAAGAAGCCACCAAAUGGCUCAGAGAAAAAGGGGUCAUCAAAUGGAUCUUUUCCUCCGAAUAGCUUUGACAUUCUUGUCGGCAAUUGGACAAAAGCUAGUCACCUGACAAGCUUAAGAAAACAGAGCAAAGCAGAAACUCAUAAAAAUCUGAUCUUUAAACACAAAAUAACAAUUACUCACCAAUGAACAUAUAACACAAGUAUCGCUUGUCAACUUAAAUCAAUUCUUAAUUUGUUAACUGCAAAAUAAAUUGACGCAAAAGGUUAGAUUUUUGUUUGUUGGAAACCACUUGUGUGCAAUAAAAGACAUCCACUUUUUUUCAAACAAGCCAGAGUAGAGCACUUGAUCCCUCAAUGCCUGAACUGCACGUCAUACUCAGGGAAAGCCAAAGAAAUUCAAAAUUGCAAAUUCUUUUACAUUUUGAAAGCUUAAAUCCUUUUUGUAUUCGUACAAGAUAGAAACUCCACCAAAAUUAGCAACCAAAAACAACAUUUUAUAUCAUCAAAGGGUGUAGUUUUCUAACACUCACAGGAUACUGUUCAUGGUAAAGAAAACCCAUAAUUUAAUUCUGCAAAAGCAGUUGAUUUUCAUGAACUAAUCACUGGAAUUCAAAGGGGGAAAAAAACUAAUAAUAACCGCUUUGGAGAUUAAUAAAGAGAACCCAAUGGAGAAAAUAGUAGUUAAGGACAAAGUACGGCCAGACGAAUGCAAAAACAUAAUAAACAACUCGACUCGGAAUGCAGAAUAGAAGAAGGAGCGACGGCACCUCUAUUCAGAGCGCAGAGGAAGCUACUUCUUCAGGAGUGUGGCUAUAGCGAAAAACAGAUUGCUUUUAGCAUUUUAUAGGAACAGAAAACUGGGGAUGAAGCUUCUAGAGGAACGUGAAACAAAACCAAUAAGGUUAUUUACAGUUCGCCCCCUUGAUUAAAAUUUGUGUACGAUUUCAUCCCUCGUGCACUUUUUGUCUAGUCAAAUUUUACUUUAAUUUAUACCAUUGAACCCAUUUUAUCUUGGGUUAAUGGGGGCAUUAUUCUAUACGAUUCAAGCCAACAUUCCCCUCAACUAUCACAUUUUUUUGGCCAAAUGAAGGCUUGCACCCGAAGAAAUUCUACAUUCAUGUUUAUUGCCUCUAAUUUUAAUGAAGAUGUUAUUUAGCACAUAUUAAUUCCUUAUACUCUCCAUAAGCUAUUGUCAACACAUGCUACUCCUUGUGUCUGUUCCGUUGUGAGAUUGUCGGAAAGAGAAAUCUUAAUUGUCUAAUCCUCAUCAUCAAAUAAUUAAUCAUUAGUAAAUCAAUGUGGAACCAUUUAUGGUCAGUUGUUUGACAAGGCCUAUCAUAUCCUUACUUUCUUGACAGCUUCCUAUCGAGUAGAAAAUGAUACCAUGUUAUAGUAUAAUUUACUAUAUGAUUUUGGCUGCGGAAGACCCCUACACGGAAGGAAUUGUAACAAGUCACUAGACAUUUUUUCGAACUUCAAAGAAUACUACUAACUCUCCGUUGUAUCAAUUCCUGAUUAUUUCUGUGAUGUUGUAGCUAGAGAGUUUAGUGGAGAUUGAUGGCUUCCACUUCGAGUUGGAGUUCCAUAUGUCGUCGCCUUGAUUCUGCCAUGAAGAAGCUCCGUGGUUGGAGGUAUGGAGCAAGGGGACAUGGCCUUGGCCGUCCAACUGCCUUAAACCCCGACCAUAUCAUUGAUCAACUUGAAACUCGGAGGCUGCUGGCAACCUUUCUUAUUCACCUUCGACGGUGCAGUGAUGCAGACAACGUUGUCAGUAACAUCGGAUUUCUCGUCAGCAUAACUGAAGCUGUAUCAGAUAACUUGGCCAACGACCUUGGCGGUGUUCUUGUUUCUGAUCAAACAUUGAACGGUUGUCUAGGAGUGGUUGAUGUACUCCGCAAAUGGGAGAGAACAAUUGGGCUUUUCAGGGAACCAGUCGGACAAGUUCUUGAUGAUCUCUCGGGCAGCUGCACCUUGGGAUUGCUGUCUCCUGCUCUUCAUUCUUAUUCUAUUUGGAUAUACUUCUUGCGAUUUAUUCCAAGGAUUCUGUCCCAUACCUCAGGCUCAGGCGCGGACGCCAGUUGAUUACCAAAUCAAACAAAUCCAUGCCCUCAGAAACAGAGUUGAAAAAUUAUUCGUUCAGGUAAAGGAUUUCCAAUUUGGCUUCCAUAUCAGUGAUGGUGUUGUUCAGGAAGAUAUUCAGAACUUCUUCACUCACGUUGGAAUUACGGCCCUAAGGAUAGCAAUUCAGGCUUUAAUUUAUUUGGUUAGAAUGGGAUCAAUAACUGCAGUAAGUAAUAAUCUUAUGGAUCUGAAACGUGAUAUUGAUCCCACUACUCCAGCGUUCUUAGACUUGAAUCUCGCAUUCUUGAGAGCUGUCAAAAAUUCCAUGCCUGACCGUGCAAUGUACUCGACCAUGUUCUUUAUCCAUUAUCUCCUAGGUGACAGCAAGUUAUAUGGUCUCAAGUCCCUGGUAAACUUUGUUGUUCAGAUUAGACAAAAGCAUACAUAUCACAUAUUUCUUCACAUUUUGCUAGUGCUCAGUAAGAAGUACACAAUUCUUAAGUAUAAUCACAGUUAUUCUGAUUUGAAGCAAGCAAAUAAUAAGAGGUCCCACUAUUUAUGUGGCUGUGAAACCAUGGAAUUAUGGGCCAUUUGCAUUCGCAAUUGCAAAAUAGUCUUAAUAUGCAGUAAUUUUUGUCAUUUGCCUGGUUGGAAAAGUAAAAUAACUUUGAGUAGUGCAGACUAUGUCUAUUCUUUCUACUUUCAUUGUUCUUGCAAAUGCAGGAACUGCUAUCAACUCGGUUAUUAAAAUGUGACGAUAAGCCAAAAUCUCCUGUCCACAUUUUAAACCAUUUCCCGGAAAAGAAGUAUUCGUUGCAGAGGACGUUUUGGGACUUUUCAUCACAUUCUUAGAUACAUUGCCUAACAAGUUUUGCAUUUCGAACACAAUGAGCAAAUGCAGUAACAAGCGUGUCCGGAAAAUUUAACAUGAUCAAAGUAAAAGAGAUUUACCACAACAUAAAACCAACAUGUGGGCUACUUCUGAAAAUCUCCUAUAUAUUUGAUUGGAAUUAUUGUCGGACAAAUAUAAACGACUAAUUUGCAUGUGAAGAAUAAUGUACAAAUACUGCUGCUAUCCAGGAAAGCUUACAAAAAAGUGAAUGUGCUUAAAAACCUGGAGCGGUAUUAGAUAUGAAAGAAGAUAUUAUAUAAACCAGACCAGCAUGAGCAAAGGUGUCCCAAAUGCUACGAGUCCUUCCAUCUUCAAAUACAGCACCCUCAACCUGAGAUCAUUAGUAUAAUCACAAUUACAAAUCACAAUGCAAGCAGCCUAAUCAACCCAAAAUCAAAAGAGACUAUGAAAGUCAAUUGGCCUGGCCGCUGUUGAGGAGAGUUUUCAGCAUAGGCAGCCAAGAAUAUUGGCAGUAACAAGAAUAUGACACAGAUUUCGACAUUGGCUUUCAGAUGAAGUAACAUAAACGUCGUACCAAUGUGGCGAAGCGAAGGGCAGACCUGAUAGGCAGAAGAGCCGGCACCGAAAAAAAAGUCAGCUGGGAAGUCGGCCCGAGUAAAAUUCUCAACAGCCCAGAAAAUGUGACCCCAGAAAAACCAGAGCAAGAAUUAUAGUACCAGAAGAAGAGCAGAAGCGCAGCGGACGCAGCUGCAGCAGCAUCAUUAGUUAUCCGGUUGCAGCAGUACUACUGCUGCCUCCGCUUUCUUCUUCAAACUUCGAUCCGUUGGUUCUUUUAUCGUAUUAUACUAUAAAUGUGUGGCCGAAUGGUUUCGGAUAAAGUGAGUAUACGAAGCAUUGAUCUUCUACAUAUCGACACUAUCACUCGCUAUCACCGUUGAAGGAUUAAUUUGACUCAAUGAACCGUUAGUGUCGGAUGAUGCCAAGAGUUAAAAAAGGACUUCAUUUAUGUGUUGAGUGGCAAAUUUUAUGAAACUCCAUGCCAUUUUAUUGAUUCGGAGAGAACAAUUUGUUUCUUGGAUUCGGACCGUAAUUGAUCCUCAAAAAUAUAAUACUAUGUGUUACCCUUCUUUAUUAUUAUUAUUAUUAAUGGGCUUGACUAUGGAGUGCCUAGUGGAACUCCUUAACAAGAAAUAUCUUGUGUUAAUUUUUUCAUUUGAAAAAAUAUAUAAAUACAAGAAUAUAAAAAUAUGAUAUAUAUAUAUAUAUAUAUAUAUAUAUAUAUAUAUAUAUAUAUAUAUAUAUAUAUAUGUGUGCGUACAUAAUAAAUUAAAUAUGAUUUAAGUGUGCUAACAUAUCCAGUAGGUAUCAAUAUGUAAAUAAACGCCUUGCUUGGAUCAUAAAGAAAAAGCUCAAUUUAAUCACCAUUCUUAUCGCACAAAUGGUAAUUGAAACUUGAAGAGAAAUUCUUUCCUACACGAAUUAUUUUGAAACAAUAAAAUGUGAGAAGUAUUUUUAUUGGUCUAGUUAAAUCAUGUAGUAAAAUAAGAAAGGAUAUAGACAGUAAUAAAUUUGUAUUAGAAAAUAAACAAUAAGUUUUUGGGAAAAAAAAAAAGGGGUUUACUUUCAACAUGGUAUUUAUAUAAAGACAUUGAUUAAUUUAAAGGUUAUUUAUGUAUUAUUUUUUUCAGUUCAACAAACCAAACUGAAAAUACUUCACCCCCUUUCAAGGAAUGCAUUUAACGUACGUGAAAAUUCAAUGCAUGAAGUUAGCUAAAUAUGAAGUGUCAGCCCACAACCCAUGAUGAAGGGGGGGCACUGCGAUGGUGCAACACCUCAUUAACACAUACUUCUGGUAAAUUAUUUUUUCAAUUUUUAUGAUGGAGAUGUAGUAAUAUAUAUAAUUUUCUUUUGUUUGUAUGCAGAUGUAAUAUUGAAUACGAGUUCAUAUGCAAAGUUACAUAGCGUUAUCAAGGCAACACCCUUUUUCUUAAUUUUAUUUUUUUAAGAAGUUUUGAAUUUCUUACUUACAAUUCAAUCCGAACACGUUUUCUAUCCUGUUAAUUUUAAAAUAUGAACAGUAUGACCUUUUUCCAAGAAUGAGUGGUUUUUUUUUUUUUUUUGGAUACAAAGAAGGGGCUAAAAGCUAUCUAAGGGCUACUGGUGAAAACAGUUAAUCGAGACGAAUCGAGCUUGAACACCUGCUGAUCAAGCUCGACUCAAACAUCUAUCGAGUGAGCGCUCGACUCAAACAUUUAUCAAGCUAAAUCUAACUCGCUCGAUUAGUAAUUCGAAUUUCAAAAGCCGUUCGAAAUCGACUAGUCAAACUCGACUACAAGCUCGAACUCGAGUUUGAAAAUCGAGCCAAGUUUAACGAGUUUAGCGAGCUAUUGAAAAGGGAAGAGGAAAGAAAAAUUAGGACAGCAAUGAAGUGACACUAAUGCCCUUGUAUUUGGAGCCUAUCGAAUAAUUCUCGAACCUAGAUCGACUCCCCACGAUUCAUAAACGAGUACAUAUAAAACUUAAACUCGACUUGUUUACUGAGAAAUAAAAGCCAAGUCGAGCGCUUAACGAGCCAAAUCGAGCUCGACUCGUGAAUUAGCAUGUUCGAUUAACAGCUCUUAAGUGAUGGUGCAUCCAUUGGACCCUGGAGUGCUCGGUGUUGAACUGCUGCUUUGGCUAGCCAGUCUGAGCAUCUACUUCCCUCUCUCCAGAUGUGCUGCAGACUGCUUGACCAUUAUGUGCUUCUCGCUUCUCUGAUUUGCUUGAUCGUGUUGUCCUGGGAACAGCGUCUUUUAUUAGUUCCAAUCCUGCUUCAGAGUCCGAUUCGAGAUUUCUUGAAUCCUCUUGUUUGCAUUCGCCACCCCUUUCGAAUGGAUGGCAGUAGUUUUUUUUUUUUUUUCUUCACACUUGAAUCUUUUGUUUAUAAUUUGUACUUUGUAAAAAGAAAAAGGAAAAGAAAUAAGAAUGGAGCAACAAUGGCCACCCGCAUCGAUCUUUAGGCCCUUUGGGCUCCUUUUUUAGGCAUUCUAUCAAAUUACAUGGAAAGAAUCGUCAGAAUGCAAGUUAGCGUGUUUGCCUUCACUAUUCCCAAUCGGCAAUUACCAUAAUAGCCAAACCUCUCUCUCGAGUCUUGACUAAUACUAAUUAGGGUGCAAGUACUAAAUAGCCGUACUUGAGGAAACCCUGAUAUUUCAUGCCACAGUAUGAUAAAAUUGACAGUUCAGUGAAACAAGCAUCGACAAUACAUUGCCUAUUUACAUAGACCACAGGACCAAAAAAAAAACCAAUUUCCCACUUGAUCUGCUACUAUAGCUCAAAGCAAACUAGAUUAUUCAAGCAAUCAGUUGGGCAUCAGAACCCCACUCUUCAAAGCAAAUAACUUACGGGCUGUAAUUCAGAAAACGAUGCAUGGGUUGGCUCAGCUUUUAUAACUCUUACAGGCCAAUAGAGAAGGCACGAUCCCAUUGGCACCACGUCUUUCCGUCCAAGUACUCAAAAUUCUCAAAUCCAAUUAUCAACACAUCUACUCUAUUGGAAUUGUAACUGUCUUUUUAGGUCUUCCUCUAGCUGAAUCAUUCUGAGCACCAGGUCUCAAACUAGCAUCUCUACCGAGCUGCUGCCAAGUUGGUUGACCCCAGCCACUCCAGGAGGUAAGCCGGCUGCCACCAAUACCUGCAUGAUUCGAGCAUGCACAGCAGGAAAAAAACAAUCAUCACACGGUGUUACAAAUCUUUCACCCAGACAUAGUGAUGCAUCUAUAGUUUUCUCCUUUUUAACUGAUUAUAUGCAGCAAAGAGACAUGGGAAUAGUCAUUGCCCUGAACAGGUCAAAUAAUGUGCACCACUCACCAGGCUUUGUAUGAAAGUCCAAUGGCAUAUCCCAUCCUGGUAAAUGCAUAUCAGCACUACCUCUCCAACUUUGAUCGAAACCCGCUAAUUCAUCUGAGAGAGAUUGGAAGCGUACAGAUCCUCAACCAACAAGCAUGAUGAAGUAUAGACAUGAAGAGCAAACAUAUAUAGGAAAACAAACCUUCAUCUAAAUUAUGCAAAGUUUGCAUUGUGUCCACCUUACCAUCCGCAUUAAGCUGCCUUGUCACUGAGUGACCCUAAAAAAGUGUGACAAAACACUUCAAUUUCCAUACUAAGUCACAGAUUGAAAUUUGUACAGUUUAUAAGAAAUAUGAACUAUGAAAUCAACCUAGAAGCAGAGAACUAUUAACCUGCCAUUUUCAUAUUUGUAAGCAUCAUAUACGUAUCUACUAGUCGAGAACAACAGGAGGCAUCUGACUAACUUAAAAGUAAUGAAAUCGCAAAAACAAAAGCAGGUCAAAAUAGUAAAAACAACACUUAAAGACUCAUCCUGUACCAUGAAAGAAGCUAUAGUGCUAUUCAAUUACUUUUCCUUAGAGUCAUAAGCAAGCCACUUGAUGUAGCCACUAAGCAUCAACAAAUAUAAAAAAUGCUCAAAAGAUAUGAUCUGUAUGUGACAUGGAUUGUCGUCAUAGUCUUCAUGAUCAAAAUUCCAGAACUAUUGCUUCUUUAUUACCUAUAACCCUAUUAUUUAAGUGGCUCUCUGACAAGUAAUACAAUAAGUAAUCCACGAGACCAAAUACUUAUCUUCCUUCAAGAACUGCAAGACUAUCAGUUGGAACAUCAAAAUAACAUUACCUUGUCAAUGAUCCCUUUAGAGAUACGAUGGGUUGCUUGACCAGUAGUACUAUCAGCUUCUUUUCUGUCUUCCAACACCACCUGAUUGCCAAAUGAACCCUUAAUAUGAGAUCUUCUACGGAACCCAUAACAAAUCUCGACUGCCAAAAUUCUGAUGAAGAAAAAGUGUAGAAAUGAGAAGGCAGAGGGCAGUUUACUUACUCCAUCAUUUCCUGUUCUUCGGGUUGCUGAAGCAGUGUAGUAAGCCCCAUUUAUGCCACCAUAAGUGACUUUCUGGAAGCUGACACUUCCUUUUUGGGGUCGCUCUCCUCCCACCUUAUUAUGAUCAGACCUAUAGACUAGUUCUUUACUCUUGCUCUUAGUUUUGCUCUUAUGAUGAUCUGCAAGACCUCCACAGUAAGCACAGUAAUCAUAGCAACAAAUCGAAAUGAUUACAGACUAAUAAUAUCCGUUAAACUAAUUCAGAAUCCUUGGGUGAGGGACUUUAACUUUACCAUCAAUUUGGUCCUCAGGGUGCUCAACAAAUGGAUUUUGAUUAGCGGAUGCAGUCUCUGGAUCCUCCCCUCCUCCAGAUAUAUUAUCAUCCUCAAUAUCUAGCUCCUCAAUAAUCGGUGCCUUCAACCUGUUGCUGUGCACUGGAUCACCAGGAGAAGCAGCCGAAAAAGACAUUUUGGACCCAAAUAAGCCACCAAAAGGGCGAGUAAAGAAGGGGUCAUCAAAAGGGUCUCUCCCUCCAAAUAUACCCGACAUUACGCUCCUGAACGAUCGAAAAACGAAAAAAAAAGAUCAAUUAAGCUCCCCAAAAUGAAGAAAUCAUCAGAACUUCUGAUUUCCACACCUCAGUUUCUUCCAACUAAAUGGACAGAAAUUAUGACUUGAGACAUACAUACAGUUAUUAUCCAAGGAACUGCAAGAUAUUGAAGAUGACCGUGUACAUAUAAAUCGAGAGACAUGAAUAACAGUUCACAAAUAACACGAUACCAUGCAUUCACGAAUAAACCGGAAAGAGAGAGAGAGAAGAAGAAGAAGAAGAACUGAACCAAUAGCUAUUAAAAGAAAGUUCAAUCACACGAUCAUUGCCAUAACUAUGUCCAAAACGAAGCAGAAAGCUUAUAAAAAUAAAUGAAGAAGAAGAAGAGCUAAAAUUAAAUAAAAAUAAGCAAAGAGAAUUUCAUUCACCUUCAGGCGAUUUGUAUACAAUUGAGAUGAAUCGAAAGAGAGAGAGGGAGGGAGGAGACUAGAAUUCAGAACCUCGUUCCAACUAAGGCAUAUACAUAUAGUGGUGCGAGCUCGGCUAUCGGGACCAAACAGGAGAUGACACGUGUUUUGCUUUUGAUUCCCGAUCGUUCUCCUUGUUUCUCUUGAAAUUUUUUUUGGGUCACUCAACUGGUUUGAGAAUUUUGCCACUUAAGUACUCUACUGGAGUAUUUAAGUGGAGUAUUUGCGUUUUUCAGCCUCCAAAAUAAAAGUGAAAAAUUAAGAAUGUUUUCUUCUGGUCUGUCGAACGUUCCUUCAAUGCAUGGAAUUUCUCAAUCCUCUCACACUCCCAAUUUGGAUUGCAGCUCUUGGGGAAAAGUUUUAUCGAGUGUUCUUCGGAAAACUUUUUAAUAUAUAUUUUUUUAUUUCACAUGUAUGGCAUCUAAAAAUAACAAAUUUAGUGUAUUUGGAUUGAUGAAUUAUCUCAAAUAAUAUUUUAUUUAUACCAUAUACACAUUUCUCAAUCUACCUUUUUAUCUUUCCAAUUACUUUUUUAUUUCACAUACAUCACAUCACAAAAAAGUGUUACAGUAAUUAUUUCUAAUAACACUCUAUCCAAACACACUCAAUAAUGUUACAGAAUUUUUUUUCCUUUAUAAAACCGGUCAAAACAAUAAACGCAUUAUAGAAAUGCAAUCCAAAUAGGAUAACAAUCAUUUUUUUAACGUUGUGGGCUGAGUGUUGGGCAAAAAUUGUUAUCCAAACCUAUCAAAACCUGUUUGGAUUGCAUUUUUAUAGAGCGUUUAUUGUUUUGACAAGUUUUAUAAAGAAAAAAAAAAUCUAUAAUUAUGAUGCCUAGCUCCAAUUUCUUGACAAUUACGAGCCAUUAAUACCGAAAAAGGUUUAAAGAAUUGUGAAACAGUUUGUCCUAGAGGCAUAAACUUCUUGGGCUACACAGAAUUUCAUUAAUAUGCGAAGCUGAAAUAUAACACGCCAUACACAUACACUGCUUAGGAUUGUUGAAGAAGAAGGGUUCCAUUUUCUUUCCAUCAUCUUCGCUCUCUUUUGGAUUGUCAUUUUUCAAUCAUCUUUUCACUUUAUAUACAUUAAAUCGCUAUGUUACAAUAUAUAUAUUUUUAAUAAAAACUUCAUAAAACAGCAAUCCAAGAUGGAUGUGAAAAAACGGGAAAAAAUGACUUUUUUUGUCGAGCAGUGCACCAUCAUCCUGUAAGUAACAUUUCAUUGAGAACAUAAAAUUAAAGGGAUAAUUAGGAUUAUAUUGAAGGCCCUGACAUUUGGCGUAAUACAUGAAAAGAGUACAAAUCCGAGAAAACAUUUCUCCUCUAAUUGAUUUCUCACAGGCACCAACACAAGUGAUCACAAGGGUUACACCAUCAUUACGUGUUAGCUACUGAGAAUAUCUACAUCUUUUUGAAACUACAAUUAAAGCUUACAAGAACAUCAAACAUGCCACCAUCUC
rnacentral:lncRNA from 1 species